CACGUAGGCGCAAGCGUUGUCCGGAAUUAUUGGGCGUAAAGAGCUCGUAGGCGGUCUGUUACGUCUGCGUGUGAAAACCCAGGGCUUAACCCUGGGCUUGCAGUGGAUACGGGCAGACUAGAGGCAGGUAGGGGAGAAUGGAAUUCCCGGUGUAGCGGUGAAAUGCGCAGAUAUCGGGAGGAACACCGGUGGCGAAGGCGGUUCUCUGGGCCGUG
rnacentral:rRNA from 1 species